rnacentral:rRNA from 1 species
AGGUACCGCUUAAUUGAGCGGUGGCACAUAAUCGGAGGCCCCGACUGUUUACUAAAAACACAUCACAGUGCAAUCAUUAAUAUGAUAGUAUACUGUGUGAAAUUUGCCCGAUGCCAUUAAUAUAAGAACGGUCAUUAUGUAGCUAACACUACAACUAAAAGUGACUUAUCGAAAGUCUGGUUAAUAGCGGUCUUAACUAUGAGGAUCCUAAGGUAGCAAAAUCGAUUGGCCUUUAAAUGAGGUCCGGUAUCAAUAAUGUAACGAUGGUCUCACUGUCUCUACAACUUGCUCAGUGAAAUUGAAUUACGCGUGCAGAUGCGCGUUACCUCCAGGGGACGGGAAGACCCUAU